AUUGAACGCUGGCGGCAUGCCUAACACAUGCAAGUCGAACGGCAGCACAGUCUAGCUUGCUAGACGGGUGGCGAGUGGCGAACGGGUGAGUAACGCGUAGGAAUAUACCUUGAAGUGGGGGACAACCUGGGGAAACUCAGGCUAAUACCGCGUAAUCUCUUCGGAGGGAAGCUGGGGACCGCAAGGCCUGGCGCUUUAAGAUUAGCCUGCGUCCGAUUAGCUAGUUGGUGGGGUAAAGGCCUCCCAAGGCGACGAUCGGUAGCUGGUCUGAGAGGAUGAUCAGCCACACUGGGACUGAGACACGGCCCAGACUCCUACGGGAGGCAGCAGUGGUGAAUAUUGGACAAUGGGGGGAACCCUGAUCCAGCAAUGCCGCGUGUGUGAAGAAGGCCUGAGGGUUGUAAAGCACUUUCGGCGGGGAGGAGGAUAAGUUGGUUAAGAGCUGACUUAUUGGACGUUACCCGCAUAAGAAGCACCGGCUAACUCCGUGCCAGCCGCCGCAGUAACAC
rnacentral:rRNA from 1 species